CUCUUCAAGGUGCUGCAUGGUUGUCGUCAGCUCGUGCCGUGAGGUGUCGGGUUAAGUCCCAUAACGAGCGCAACCCUUACCGUUAGUUACCAUCAGGUUAAGCUGGGGACUCUAGCGGGACUGCCACCGUAAGGUGAGAGGAAGGUGGGGAUGACGUCAAAUCAGCACGGCCCUUAUGUCCAGGGCUACACACGUGUUACAAUGGCCAGUACAAAGGGCAGCUACCGGGUGACCGGAUGCUAAUCUCUAAAGCUGGUCCCAGUUCGGAUCGAAGUCUGCAACCCGACUUCGUGAAGCUGGAUUCGCUAGUAAUCGCGCAUCAGCCAUGGCGCGGUGAAUACGUUCCCGGGCCUU
rnacentral:rRNA from 1 species